UUUAAGGCCCUGACCCGGAAGCUGUUCUCCAGGAACAGGAUCAGCCAAAGACCGGGGAUGAGGACACUUAUGUCAAGUAUAAGAUUUUAGGCAAACCGGAACCCAUUAACAUGCCAGAAAUAGGGCCUGACCCAGAAAUUUGUUCCCCAGACCUGCCUCAGCCAGAGAUUUGGGUUGACGAUACAGAUGAUACUCCGUUCAAGUGGGAGAUGUCACCAAAACCAAAGCCCAUUUCCAUGCCAGAAGCAGGGGAAGGAAAACCAGACAUUUAAAGGAAGAUGAUCUGAAGACACACAGAUCAUUCUCAUGUUGGAUACUUUACUGUUCAAGUUCUCUCAGUAAAGUUUUAC